UACACAUACACUUUAUUAUUAUUGAAAUGUUCAAACGCUUAACAGCAUUUAAAUACAACUUUUAACAACGGAUCUCUUGGCUCUCGCAUCGAUGAAGAACGCAGCGAAAUGCGAUAAGUAAUGUGAAUUGCAGAAUUCAGUGAAUCAUCGAAUCUUUGAACGCACCUUGCGCUCCCUGGUAUUCCGGGGAGCACGCCUGUUCGAGCGUCAUGAAGCUCUCAAACAUGUUCUUUUCUUAACUGAGAGGUUGUGUGUUUGGAUUUGGACUCUGCCGUGUAACAAACGGCUGGUCCGAAAGAUAUUAGCUGAUCCUAGCGAGGCUUGGUUCUACUCGGCGUGAUAAUUAUCUAACGUCGAGGACAUCGCAAGAUGGCCAAACUGAAACUUUAUGGGUUGCUUCUAAUCGUCUUCAUCGACAAACUUUUAAUCAAUCUGACCUCGAAUCAGGCGGGACUACCCGCUGAACUUAAGCAUAUCAAUAAGCGGAGGAAAAGAAACUAACAAGGAUUCCCCUAGUAACGGCGAGUGAAGCGGGAUGAGCUCAAAUUUAAAAUCUGGUGUCCUUUGGGCAUCCGAGUUGUAGUCUAGAGAAGCGUCUUCCGCGC
rnacentral:rRNA from 1 species